rnacentral:rRNA from 1 species
GACGAACGCUGGCGGCGUGCUUAACACAUGCAAGUCGAACGGAAAGGCCCUGCUUUUGUGGGUUGCUCGAGUGGCGAACGGGUGAGUAACACGUUAGUAACCUGCCCUUGACUUUGGGAUAACUUCAGGAAACUGGGGCUAAUACCGGAUAGGAGCUCCUGCUGCAUGGUGGGGGUUGGAAAGUUUCGGCGGUUGGGGAUGGACUCGCGGCUUAUCAGCUUGUUGGUGGGGUAGUGGCUUACCAAGGCUUUGACGGGUAGCCGGCCUGAGAGGGUGACCGGCCACAUUGGGACUGAGAUACGGCCCAGACUCCUACGGGAGGAAGAAGUGGGGAAUAUUGCACAAUGGGCGGAAGCCUGAUGCAGCAACGCCGCGUGCGGGAUGACGGCCUUCGGGUUGUAAACCGCUUUCGCCUGUGACGAAGCGUGAGUGACGGUAAUGGGUAAAGAAGCACCGGCUAACUACGUG